rnacentral:lncRNA from 1 species
CGGCCUGCCCCGCGGCAAGAUGGCGGCGUGAAGGCAGCGGGCAGCGGCGGAAACUGAAGACUCAGGGGCCCCAGGGACUGGAAGAAAUCACAAUACCUGCUUGGAAAGAAGAAGAGGUAGCGACUUGCCCGAGCUCAACCCCAGAGCGGCUCCGGAGUUGGGCUGCUCUCAACCAAGCUGUCUGUUUAUAUGGAGUGCCUGGAGGGCGUCUGCCAUGAGUCUGUCGCUAUCCGUGCUAACCAGGAGAGCUGGCUGGUGGGGGAGAAGACACUAACCCUGUG